rnacentral:lncRNA from 1 species
CGUGUGAAAAACGAAACAAGCUUAUAUAAUUUGGACGAAAUGAGUAAUUGAUAACAUUUUUCAUAGAAUCGUGUUAGUUUUGGGCUCGCUCCAUUAUAAUCCAUUUGUAAUUGGACUUUUGAAUUUAAAUGAUCCCAAAUAGAGAUAAUUUAAAGGCGAAGUGAUAUUCUCAACCGAGAAGCAAUACAUUCAGUUAAAACUCGAGAAUUUUCAUUCCAGCCCCCCAAAAGUUCAACUCGAUGUGUAACUUUUCCAAUUAAGGGUUGAAACGUGUACUUUUCAAAUUUUCAGUUCUAUGUAGUAAUGGAAUCUAUUAAUAGCCUCGCGUUGCUUUAGAAACUUUAA